rnacentral:lncRNA from 1 species
UUUUUUUCGGGUCACAUCUGCAGUACAUGGAGGUUCCCAGGCUAGGGGUCAAAUCAGAGCUCCAGCUGCCAGCCUACACCACAGCCAUGGCACUGGGGAUCCAAGCUGUCUGCAACCUACACGCCAGCUCACAGCAAUGCUGGAUCUUUAAUCCACUGAGCGAGGCCAGCGGUUAAACCCACCACAUCUUGGUUCCUAUUGGAUUUGUUUCCACUGCCCCGCAAUGGGAACUCCCAUGGUGGGUUCCUAACCUGCUCAGCCACAAUGGAAACUCCACAAUUCAGCUUCUUUUUUCCUUUUGCUGUUUUGGGCCACACACACCCAAAAUAGGCUGGGAGUCGAAUGGGAGCUACAGCUGCCGGCAUACACGAAAACCAGAGCAAUUUGGGAUCCGAGGCACAUCUUCGACCUACACCACAGCUCACGGCAAUGCCGGAUCCCCAACUCACGGAUCGAGGCCAAGGACUGAACCUGUAUCCUCACGGAUCCCGGUUGGAUUUGUUCCCACUGUGCCACAAUGGGAACUGCCCCCAAUUCCCUUUCACAUGGGACUCUGCUGCCUGUUCGGAGUGACUCCUAAGACGCUUGCGCCAGCCUCUCCCGGCCCCGCGGGCCCCACUGCAGUGACCUGUGGGGAGGGGAGAGGAUCACUUCCUGGAAGAGUCCUUUUUUCUUUUUUUUUUGCCGCACCUGUGACAUAUGGAAGUUCCUGGGCCGGGAAGUGAACCCGUGACACAACUGCAGCCCGUGCCACAGCAGCAGCAGCAACGACGGAUCCCUAACCCGCUUCGCCAUGGGGGAACCUCGCAGAACCCUUUAUUUCCGGCUCACCCAGGCCUCCUCGUGAUGCCCAUUCUGCCACCUGUUCUGUUCCCUAGAGCCAUCCCUGUACACCUGGCUUCCUCUCAGUGCGGCCCAAACAAGCAAGGUCGCAGACCCCUCCUGCCACAACCCAUUCUCCACGUCCCCUCCUCACCAGGUAAGCUCCCUUCCCUCGGGACACAGGAUGGGCCUAGAUUUCCUCCGACCUCUGAGGAUCUCGGCGCUGCUGUCGCUCAGUGGCCCAGCCACAGCAAUGGGAUGUACCAUGCCACGUGGGGACACUGCCCGGAGGAAGCGUCACCCUGUCUGGGUUCUGGUGUAACAAACCAAAGACCAAAUUACAAAGCUGCUGGGCCUCGUCCUUCUCAUUGACUGGCGAGGACACCCGGUUCCACUCUUGGGGACAGUCACACCUGGACGCACCUGCGUGCUGUCAGGACAUCUGUAAGGCACAUCAUCUCUUCACACUGUUCCCUUCAAGAGCAAACGUAUCCCUCUGUUUAACAGUGACUGCUAGGAAGCUCCCUUGGGGUGCAGUAGGUUAAGGAUCUGGUGUCAUCACUGCAGUGGUCUGGGUCACUGCUGUGGCACAGGUUCCAUUCUUGGCCCAGAAACUUCCACAGGCUGCAAGCAAGACCAAAAAAAGGAAAAAAAAAAAAAAAGAGAAAAGAAAAGAAAAGAAAAAAAAGGACAGCAUUUUCGAUGUGGCGCAGUGGAAACAAAUCUGGCUAGUGUUCAUGAGGAUGCAGGUUAAAUCCCUGGCUUUGCUCAGUGGGUCUGGGAUCCAGCACUGCUGUGAGCUGCGGUGUAGGCUGGCAGCUACAGCUAAUUCAACCCCUGGCCUGGGAACUUCCACAUGCCGUGGGUGUGGCCCUAAAAAGCAAAAACCAACCAACAAAACCCACUGCCACUGCCUAGCUGUCUAAAAGAUCUCACAGUAAACUGCUAAUUAAAACAACAACAACAAACCCAACGAAACCCAAAAAUCCAGAGUUCUGAACUCCCAUUCUCGAGCAUAUUCCUGAUGCCCUUCUUGCCUGAAACGGACCCAAAAAUGUGGCGCUCGAGACAGGCCUGAGUCCCUGUGUCUCCCUGAUCAGCUCACAGAAGCCACAAGCACCCUGUGGAUCCCAAGGUCGCCAGGCGGUACUCGUGCAGCAAGAGCUGGCAGGAGAGGGUAUUGCAGGGACGGUUUCCCCAAUAAAGGUAACCUGUCCAUAUAGCACAUGGACGGAGAUUUUUUUUUAAACAUGGUCGUUUUCUAGGCUUUUGGACAAAAACAACCUGGGAAAGCCAUCAUGAGUUGGGCUUCUGAAGUCAGCCAUGUUUCCGAACAGCUUCUUGAAUGGGUCUUCACCUUCAGAAAUGAAAGGACAACACGAGAACCAGGCACUGUUCUUAUUUAGUCUUUUUGGAGCUGCACCCAUACGGAGGUUCCCAGGCCAGGGGUCAAAUCAGAGGUCUAGCUGCCGGCCUACACCACAGCCACAGCAUGCUGGAUCUGAACCUUGCCUUCGACCUGCACCGCAGCUCACAGCAACGCGGGGUCCUUAACCCACUGGGCGAGGCCAGGGAUCGAACCCACGUACGUCCUCGUGGACCCUAGUCGGAUUCAUUACCUGCUGAGACACGAUGGCAACUCCAGAACCAGGUAUGGUGUUAAGGAACCUUGGUUCUGAUCUGCCUGACUGAGAUAAAAGUUGACACGAAUGGAACAUGAGCCUUAUUUUCAGGAGUGAGACAACACCCUGGCUGUUGGGUAAAUAAAACAAGUAGCAUGGCCCCACCAGGUACCUCACCUCACUCCUGAGGGAUUCCAGGGCAGUAAAUGAAGGAAAAAACUGUGGCCUUGUCUCAAGUGACCAAAGUACUCUAGAAAACUGCCUUUCAAAACUCACUGUACAGAGAGUAAAAACGCCGUGUCCUGAGAAGGCAGCACGUCAAGGAAGGGCUUGGGCCCCUUAGCAGCGGAUGAGAGCUCAGGUUUUAACCUCCCUAAAGGGCACACGACCUACGCUGCCACUAAAAUCAAAUCUCUACCAAUGAGUAACAGAGCCUUCCAACAAGGACACGUUCGAUGACCUCUGCAGGCGAGUACUGGUGUUACAGAGACACCACUUCCCAAGGGACCAGGAACACAGCAAAAUGCAGAGAUGGCUUAUGACAAGGCAGCAGUCAACUCUCACAAGAACAUCAUGCAUGUAGAGGGGCCACUUCGUCAGGGCAUGGGGUAGACUAGCUUCUCCUGGAGGAGUUUAACCUCCUGUCCUUGAGAACAGCCACGUGGAAAACCACUGAAACCGCACACUAGGCAAAAGGAGGAGAAACGCGGUGGUAGCCACAACCUUGGCAACCCUUGCAGGGUGAUCCUGCCCGGGCAGCCCUGCGCACUGAGCUCUCAGGAGAGCGCCUGCGGAAGGUCUGGAGGAGAAAGGAGAGGCCUCGAGGGCAAGAGGAGAGACCGUAUUUACUUGGCAUGAAGGUCUGAGAGAUCCAGUCAAGUGAGAUGACCUCUCUGCUCUUAGGUCAAAGGACACUCACCCUGCCCCUUGCCCGGGACUUGCCGUGGACUCCUGGGGUCUCUCCGUCUUCCACCCCCGAACCUGCCUGCAGCAACCUGCCCCAUUUCAUGGACAGCAAGCCCAUCCUUUCUGGGAUUGGGCCGGGAGCCAGAGUCACCCUGAGCUUCCGCUCACUCAGCCAUUCCCGAUCUGACUGCAGGCGCCGUCAACUCUACUCCAACACACCCAGAAUCCAACCACGGUCUCAGCGGGUCAGCAUCACCUCUCGCCUGCUCACUGUCAACUUCACGUGGCUUUUCUGGCCUCUCCUUGCUCCUCGAGAUGGAUUCCCUCGCAGCGGCCAGGAAAGCCCUCCAGCUGCUCCCACCUCAGAGCAAGAGACAGGGGGCACCAGGCCACUGGCAUUGUGGCCGCACCUUCCGCCACCCUGCCCCAGCGCUGGGUGCCCGGAUGCCUCCAGCGAAGCCCCCACCCAUUGCCCCGUUUACCAUGGCACCUCCUCGGACCCUGGGACCUCUGGAAGGCCUUACCCUGCCCCGUGAUGUUUUUCGUGCCACUUACCUGUUUCAUACUAAAUGCUUUAUCAUUGUUUACUGACCGCUGUCCUGUUAGGACCCAAGGUUUGUUUUGUAUUGUUUUUUUUCUUUUGUUUUUUUAGGGCCACACCCAGGGCAUAUGGAGGUUUCCAGGCCAGGGGCUGAAUCGGA